rnacentral:rRNA from 1 species
AGCAGCCGCGGUAAUUCCAGCUCCAAUAGCGUAUAUUAAAGUUGCUGCAGUUAAAAAGCUCGUAGUUGAAUUUCGGGACCAUCAUGUCGGUCGUGCCUCGGUACGUACUGGCAUUGUUGGUUUCUACCUUCUGACGAACCAUGAUGUCAUUUAUUUGGUGUCGUGGGAAAUCAGGACUGUUACUUUGAAAAAUUAGAGUGUUUAAAGCAGGCUCACGCUUGAAUACAUUAGCAUGGAAUAAUGAAAUAGGACGUUUGAUUCUAUUUUGUUGGUUUCUAGGAUCGACGUAAUGAUUAAUAGGGAUAGUUGGGGGCAUUAGUAUUCAAUUGUCAGAGGUGAAAUUCUUGGAUUUAUUGAAGACUAACUACUGCGAAAGCAUUUGCCAAGGAUGUUUUCAUUAAUCAAGAACGAAAGUUAGGGGAUCGAAGACGAUCAGAUACCGUCGUAGUCUUAACCAUAAACUAUGCCGACUAGGGAUCGGAUGAU